rnacentral:rRNA from 1 species
UGAGGAAUAUUGGUCAAUGGGCGGGAGCCUGAACCAGCCAAGCCGCGUGAGGGAAGAAGGCCCUAUGGGUCGUAAACCUCUUUUGUCAGGGAACAAAAGCGAGUAUGUAUACUAGUCUGAGUGUACCUGAAGAAAAAGCAUCGGCUAACUCCGUGCCAGCAGCCGCGGUAAUACGGAGGAUGCGAGCGUUAUCCGGAUUUAUUGGGUUUAAAGGGUGCGUAGGCGGCGAUGCAAGUCAGCGGUAAAAGCCCGGGGCUCAACCCCGGCGAGCCGUUGAAACUGCAGUGCUAGAGAAGGCGAGAGGUACGCGGAAUGCGCAGUGUAGCGGUGAAAUGCUUAGAUAUUGCGCAGAACUCCGAUUGCGAAGGCAGCGUACUGGCGCCUGACUGACGCUGAGGCUCGAAAGUGUGGGUAUCAAACAGGAUUAGAUACC